UACAGAGGUCUCAAGCGUUGUUCGGAUUCAUUGGGCGUAAAGGGUGCGUAGGUGGCGCCGUAAGUCAGGUGUGAAAUUUCGGAGCUUAACUCCGGAACUGCCUUUGAUACUCCCGCGCUUGAGAACUGGAGGGGACAUCGGAAUUCACGGUGGAGCAGUGGAAUGCGUGGAUAUCGUGAGGAACACUAGUGGCGAAGGCGGAUGUCUGGACAGUAUCUGACGCUGAGGCACGAAGGCCAGGGGAGCGAACGGG
rnacentral:rRNA from 1 species